rnacentral:rRNA from 1 species
GACGAACGCUGGCGGCGUGCUUAACACAUGCAAGUCGAACGGAAAGGCCCUGCUCUUGUUGGGUUCUCGAUUGGCGAACGGGUGAGUAACACGUGAGUAACCUGCACUUGACUUUGUGAUAACUUCAGGAAACUGGGGCUAAUACCGGAGAGGAUCUCCUGCUCCAUGGGGGGGGUUGGAAAGUGUCGGCGGUUGGGGAUGGACUCGCGGCUUAUCAGCUUGUUGGUGGGGUAGUGGCUUACCAAGGCUUUGACGGGUAGCCGGCAUGAGAGGGUGACCGGCCACAUUGCGACUGAGAUAGGGAGCAGACUCCUACGGGAGGCAGCAGUGGGGAGUAUUGCACAAUGGGCGGAAGCCUGAUGCAGCAACGCCGCGUGCGGGAUGACGGCCUUCGGGUUGUGAACCGCUUUCGCAUGUGACGAAGCGUGCGUGACGGUAAUGGGUAAAGAAGCACCGGCUAACUACGUG